rnacentral:rRNA from 1 species
AUACGGAGGAUCCGAGCGUUAUCCGGAUUUAUUGGGUUUAAAGGGAGCGUAGGCGGACGCUUAAGUCAGUUGUGAAAGUUUGCGGCUCAACCGUAAAAUUGCAGUUGAUACUGGGUGUCUUGAGUACAGUAGAGGCAGGCGGAAUUCGUGGGGUAGCGGUGAAAUGCUUAGAUAUCACGAAGAACUCCGAUUGCGAAGGCAGCUUGCUGGACUGUAACUGACGCUGAUGCUCGAAAGUGUGGGUAUCAAACAGGAUUAGAUACCCUGGUAGUCCACACAGUAAACGAUGAAUACUCGCUGUUUGCGAUAUACAGUAAGCUGCCAAGCGAAAGCGUUAAGUAUUCCACCUGGGGAGUACGCCGGCAACGGUGAAACUCAAAUGAAUUGACGGGG